rnacentral:lncRNA from 1 species
CUGUACUCAUCCUGGACAGCAGCUCAGCUGGGUCUUGGUUCAGGCCCUGAGAAGCCCACAGCAGAGUUCAACAGGGCUCUAAGCACAUCAGAUGGACCACACAAGCCAGCUGUGGUAAGGUGUUAACACUGAACAAGACUCAGCUAAGUGCUUGCUGCGCAACCAUGAAGACAUAGUUUUAGAUCCCUGGCACCCAUGUGCAGAAAGCUGGGUUUGGCGGUGUGCACCUGUAACCCCAGCUCUGAGGAAGCGUGCCCUGCGAGUCCAGUCAGUCUAGCCAAACUGGAAAUCCAUUAUCUGACACCUCAGGGAACCACUCCGAUGUUGGCGGAAUCCAAAAUCACACUCUGCGGAGAAGCCAAUCCUGACAUACCUGCUUUGUCUCUCAGAUGCAUGAAUACGCA